UGAAGAAAAACCAUAAAUAAAUAAAUAAUGAAUAAGACACAAAAAGACUUUAGUUCAACCGUUAUGAUUUUCCAAAGCACCAAAAGACAAUCAUUUAAAUUUGGCUUGAUAACUAGAAAAUAUUAGUCGCACAGAAGGUUUUAAGCAUGCAUUACGUCUGUGAAUAUUUCAUCAAGUCGUUGAAUAAAUUAAUGUUGAAAAACAUUUGGCACACCGUCUUCUAAAGUCUAUAUCACAGAUCUAUAUAUAUUACUUCUAGAAUGAACAUGGAGAUCACAGAUCUAUAUAUAUUAUAUCUAGAAUGAACAUGGAGACCUUUUAACACUACAAAAAAUGUCGUGAAAAACUUUUUUAAAAGUUUAAACAAGGUUUUGUUUUGUAAAGUAAUUAUAAGAAGUGAAGUUUUUUUUCAACCCUAACCUAUGUAACAUAUAAUUUAAUGUUUAGAUCUAAAACUAGUAAUUGAACAUCGAAAAAAAGAACACUCUCGUCUCAUAAUUCUUAUUUUGCAAUUUUUAGCUAUAUAAAAACAAAAUCAAUCUAUUUAAAUGUACAUAAGAGGACUAAAAUCAAUAGUCGUGAAUUAUUUCGAUCUAGGAUUUGGAAACGUUGUCCUAUUGGAAACUAACAGGAAAUAGCUUUAUUGCGAGAAUAUAUAGUUCUGUGAUUAAUACAUAACAAUCUAUAUAUAUAGGUUUGUGAGUUGAUCCAUCGCGGGUAAGAAAUUGUUUCCGUUUUCCAGUCUAGGUAUAAUAUAUAUAGGUCUGUGGUCUAGAAUCUAGAUCUUAAGAUCUAGCAUAAAAAUAUUACACAGUUUAUU